AUUUUGAGAUAGGGCUUUGCUAAGUUUCUGAGGCUGGACUCAAACUUGUGAUCAAAUUUGCCUCACUCUCCCAAAUUGCUGAGAUUACAGGCAUGUGCUACCAUGCCCAACAUCCUCAGUCCUUUUUAUUUUUUUGUUUUGAAACAGUGUCUCAUUAAAUUGCUGAGGCCGGCCUUGAACUUGGGAUACUCCUGCCUCAGCCUCCUGGAAUGGAUCUACUACAAAUGACCAACAGCAAAGCAAAUCACAAAAUUCAUAGAAGAGAUUUGUUCAACAUUGCAGUUGUUUGUCAAAUACAAACCCUUUUACUAUAAUACACUGCUUCUUGUUCUCCACAAUUCAUGACUUAAGUACCAAAAUGCAUACCAGUUAUUAUAUAUUGCCAAGAAUUAAAUGAUAACCUUAGAGACUGAUUAGACUGAAAAUGCCUAAUUAAUGCAUAUAUUCUUGUGCCUCGUACUUCACCACAAAUACAGUGUAAUGUCGUCAGUCCUAAACUGCUUUAGUUUUGUAAGAACACUGGUUAAUUUGUAUAAGAUAUUGUAGAGCUUUUUAUGCUUUAGAGGUUAAACAGCGUCUUUGUGGGGGAGGGGGACUAAUUUAUUUCAUCACUACUAGAUGUGAUACCUCUUAUAAAAAAUUUGUUGGGUUUUUUGUUUAUUUUUAACAAAAGUUGAUUGGAACAAGAAGAUAUAUAGGCUGAUAUAUAUUCAGGCUGAAAGAUAUUUUAACAUUUGUCUUCAACUUGAUUUUUCUGUUUGAGAAAGUUUAUAAGUAUUAUUGAUGCAUAGUCUGGCCUACUCUCUUUAAAAUUCCUGUUGAGUUUCUUUGUGUUUACAAGGAAAAGAUUGAAUUUUUUCUCCUCAGAACUAGCAUUUUUUGACAAAUAAACUAUCAGGUUAAACUUGCACUAAUGUCUGCUCUAACUGCCUGUUUUGGUACACUAAGCAGACCAGAUCAGUUUUUUUUUUUU
rnacentral:lncRNA from 1 species